UACGAAGGGGGCUAGCGUUGCUCGGAAUUACUGGGCGUAAAGCGCACGUAGGCGGCUUCUUAAGUCGGUGGUGAAAUCCUGGAGCUCAACUCCAGAACUGCCUUCGAUACUGGGAAGCUCGAGUCCGGGAGAGGUGAGUGGAACUGCGAGUGUAGAGGUGAAAUUCGUAGAUAUUAGGAAGAACACCAGUGGCGAAGGCGGCUCACUGGCCCGGUACUGACGCUGAGGCGCGAAGGCGUGGGGAGCAAACAGG
rnacentral:rRNA from 1 species